GAGUGGAGAUGGGAUUGAGAGGGAAGAUGAGAGGGGAGGAUGGGUGGGAGGUGUAACAAAAGUGAAAACAAAAACUAAAAAAUAAAACUUUUUUGAAAUUUUUUUUUUCACUUACAAGUUUUUGUUUUCAUUUUUGUUACUUAUCCAUCUCAUUCUCCCCUCUCAUCCUCUCUCUCAAUCUCAUUCUCACUCC
rnacentral:miRNA from 1 species